rnacentral:rRNA from 1 species
CUUCGUUUCCUCGGCGGGUUCGCCCGCCGAUUGGACAAUUUAAACCAUUUGCAGUUGCAAUCAGCGUCUGAAAAAACAUAAUAGUUACAACUUUCAACAACGGAUCUCUUGGUUCUGGCAUCGAUGAAGAACGCAGCGAAAUGCGAUAAGUAGUGUGAAUUGCAGAAUUCAGUGAAUCAUCGAAUCUUUGAACGCACAUUGCGCCCCUUGGUAUUCCAUGGGGCAUGCCUGUUCGAGCGUCAUUUGUACCUUCAAGCUCUGCUUGGUGUUGGGUGUUUGUCUCGCCUCUGCGCGUAGACUCGCCUCAAAACAAUUGGCAGCCGGCGUAUUGAUUUCGGAGCGCAGUACAUCUCGCGCUUUGCAUUCAGAACGACGACGUCCAAAAGUACAUUUUUACACUCUUGACCU